CAGGGCCUGCCACGGCCCAACGCCCAACCCGGAGCCGCCUGACGGCGCGUGGCGGCACAGGCAUAAGGAGCCGAUCGCCGAGCACGCCGAGCAGGCUUUGUGUGCCCGCGGUCGGUGGGUGCCCGCCCGCCCGGGAGGAGCUGGCGCCCGGCUGGACGGAGCGGCCCCCGCCCUUCCCCCGACUCCGCGGAGCGCUCACCACCGCGGCCCCAGCGCAGUUAAGUGUGGACGUCUGUACACGGUUUCCGCCUGCCCUCUGCUCCAUCUCAAUCCACAAAUAUUUACUGGGCACCCGCGGUUCUUGGCAGCGUGCUAGGCGCCGAGGGCGAGAGGAGUGGGCGCCGUGCCGCUCCGCGCACUGGGGUCCUCUCUGGACCUCGCCGUGCUUACCGUAUGGGGGGUGGCCCUGGAAACGUCGGGGAUUUGAGCCCUACGUCCGCCUUUGCUAAGGAGGAAACGCUUGAGUUUGGUAGCCAGGAGAUGGCCAAGGAGUUGAGGCACAAAUUGGCCACCUUCCGGGUGCAUUCGAUCUCGUUUCUCUAAGCUACUGUCUUGCCAAGGAGACUUGGACUCAACGGCUAGCUAACCCCGCAAAGAUGAGCUCAGUUCUAGUCGGUUACGGUAGAAUGCCAAUAAACCCAACCCCUUCAGUAAACUGUGAUGACUGAACUGGGCAUUAAAGAAUGAGUAGAAUUUUGCCAAAUUCUGCGAGACUACAUUUUGGCCUAGGUUAUAUGCUAAGAAGUGAUAGAACCAAAACUUGAACUCAGGUCUCUUCCAUUAAGCUAAAUAAGACUUUAUUGUAAUUACAUCUUUGAUUUGCUGUCACUGUAUUUGCCCACAUUCCAGACACCUAUGUUCCCUUAGAAAUAAGAUAUUUGGAUCUUAUGUUACGGCAUAUACACGUCCUUAAAAUUUAGCAACAAAAUAUGCUAGGUUUGAAUAGGUAAAACAUAUGCAUGUUUUUCUUCCCACGUUUCCUGAUCCUAUUUCAAAGCAUAUGCAAAGUCUCCCUGCAAGGAAGUCCAGGAUGUAGCCAAAAGUUCCAAACCCACAUCCUACCCUGCUGUUCAUCUGUCCUGAGAACUUGGACAACCUCCUGAACUCUAAGCCUCAGUUUCCUCUGCUGUAAGAUGGGAUAACAUGACUGCCCUGGUAACUAACAACAGAGGCAUAGAAUGGCUGCUUGUCACUAGGGGAUGCCUGCAGUUGUUCCCAGAGUCCUGCAUGACACUUGGCUGUCCUUAUGUCCAUGGCAAUAUGUUUCACUAUUUUUGCCUUUAUAACAGUGUGGCCUCUCAACCAUAGUUCCCCUUGUGAUAAGAGGCACACCAGGCUGCUGGCACAGGGGGGCAUUCUGGAAGGUCCUGUUGCAAGAAAACAGCCAAGCAGGCCCUCAGCCACAAGCUUGUCAAUUUGUUUCCAUAGCAAAUUCAAACUUGUUGCAACAGAGCAACUAGGUUCUAGUUGGUGUUUACUCUACAAUGCAUUCCAUUUUGAAAUGCAGUCAGUGUAAUAGUCCAGAUUCUAUCAGGCUAAAUCUUUUUGUUAGGAGAGAGUCUUGUCACAAGUUCUUGAAGAUGUUUCAAGAAUAAGUCUCCAGCAUCAGAACAGG
rnacentral:lncRNA from 10 species